rnacentral:rRNA from 1 species
UGGACAACCUGCCCUCAAGUGGGGAAUAACGCUGCGAAAGCAGUGCUAAUACCGCAUAAGUUCAGUGCGCAAGUGCUGAGUAAAGCUAAGGCGCUUGAGGAGGGGUCCGCGGCUGAUUAGUUAGAUGGUGGGGUAACGGCCUACCAUGACGAUGAUCAGUAGCCGGCCUGAGAGGGCUGACGGCCACACUGGGACUGAGACACGGCCCAG